AUUGAACGCUGGCGGCAGGCCUAACACAUGCAAGUCGAGCGGAUGAAGGGAGCUUGCUCCUGGAUUCAGCGGCGGACGGGUGAGUAAUGCCUAGGAAUCUGCCUGGUAGUGGGGGAUAACGUCCGGAAACGGGCGCUAAUACCGCAUACGUCCUGAGGGAGAAAGUGGGGGAUCUUCGGACCUCACGCUAUCAGAUGAGCCUAGGUCGGAUUAGCUAGUUGGUGGGGUAAAGGCCUACCAAGGCGACGAUCCGUAACUGGUCUGAGAGGAUGAUCAGUCACACUGGAACUGAGACACGGUCCAGACUCCUACGGGAGGCAGCAGUGGGAAAUAUUGGACAAUGGGCGAAAGCCUGAUCCAGCCAUGCCGCGUGUGUGAAGAAGGUCUUCGGAUUGUAAAGCACUUUAAGUUGGGAGGAAGGGCAGUAAGUUAAUACCUUGCUGUUUUGACGUUACCAACAGAAUAAGCACCGGCUAACUUUGUG
rnacentral:rRNA from 1 species